AUUGAACGCUGGCGGCAUGCCUUACACACGCAAGUCGAACGGCAGCACGGGAGCAAUCCUGGUGGCGAGUGGCGAACGGGUGAGUAAUAUAUCGGAACGUGCCCAGUCGUGGGGGAUAACGCAGCGAAAGCUGUGCUAAUACCGCAUACGAUCUACGGAUGAAAGCGGGGGAUCGCAAGACCUCGCGCGAUUGGAGCGGCCGAUAUCAGAUUAGCUAGUUGGUGAGGUAAGGGCUCACCAAGGCGACGAUCUGUAGCUGGUCUGAGAGGACGACCAGCCACACUGGAACUGAGACACGGUCCAGACUCCUACGGGAGGCAGCAGUGGGGAAUUUUGGACAAUGGGCGCAAGCCUGAUCCAGCAAUGCCGCGUGCAGGAUGAAGGCCUUCGGGUUGUAAACUGCUUUUGUACGGAGCGAAACGGCUUCCACUAAUACUGGGGGCUAAUGACGGUACCGUAAGAAUAAGCACCGGCUAACUACGUGCCAGCAGCCGCAGUAACAC
rnacentral:rRNA from 1 species